rnacentral:rRNA from 1 species
AUUGAACGCUGGCGGCAGGCCUAACACAUGCAAGUCGAACGGUAACAGGAAACAGCUUGCUGUUUCGCUGACGAGUGGCGGACGGGUGAGUAAUGUCUGGGAAACUGCCUGAUGGAGGGGGAUGACUACUGGAAACGGUAGCUAAUACCGCAUAACGUCGCAAGACCAAAGAGGGGGACCUUCGGGCCUCUUGACAUCGGAUGUGCCCAGAGGGGAUUAGCUUGUUGGUGGGGUAACGGCUCACCAAGGCGACGAUCCCUAGCUGGUCUGAGAGGAUGACCAGCCACACUGGAACUGAGACGCGGUCCAGACUCCUACGGGAGGCAGCAGUGGGGAAUAUUGCACAAUGGGCGCAAGCCUGAUGCAGCCAUGCCGCGUGUAUGAAGAAGGCCUUCGGGUUGUAAAGUACUUUCAGCGGGGAGGAAGGGAGUAAAGUUAAUACCUUUACUCAUUGACGUUACCCGCAGAAGAAGCACCGGCUAACUCCGUGCCAGCCGCCGCAGUAA